AAAGGAUGUGCCAACAAGAAUAUCCAGAUUCCCAUCACCAUCCAAAUCGAUGACAGUAGGGGAGGAAUAUAUAUAAGCACGAAAGUUCGCAGAAUCUGUGCUCAAGUCUAGUUCAGUCGUCCACUUCACUUGCUUUGUAUCCAGAUUGAAAACAACAAUGGCCCCAGCUACAUAUUUCCCAAUGUCAAGAUCACCCAAUUCUUUCUUGUG
rnacentral:misc_RNA from 1 species